rnacentral:rRNA from 1 species
AACGAACGCUGGCGGCAUGCCUAACACAUGCAAGUCGAACGAGACCUUCGGGUCUAGUGGCGCACGGGUGCGUAACGCGUGGGAACCUGCCCUUAGGUUCGGAAUAACUCCCCGAAAGGGGUGCUAAUACCGGAUAAUGUCUUCGGACCAAAGAUUUAUCGCCUUUGGAUGGGCCCGCGUUGGAUUAGCUAGUUGGUAGGGUAAAAGCCUACCAAGGCGACGAUCCAUAGCUGGUCUGAGAGGAUGAUCAGCCACACUGGGACUGAGACACGGCCCAGACUCCUACGGGAAGCAGCAGUGGGGAAUAUUCGACAAUGGGCGAAAGCCUGAUCCAGCAAUGCCGCGUGAGUGAUGAAGGCCUUAGGGUUGUAAAGCUCUUUUACCCGGGAUGAUAAUGACAGUACCGGGAGAAUAAGCUCCGGCUAACUCCGUG